AUUUUGUCUUACUCUAUCAUGGUCACAGAGUGACCUUGUCUGAUGUUGGUGUUCUGGGAAAUUGCUUAUGCCCAACAGAAGAACAAUUUGGACUAGCUGUGUCAGGCCAGCUUCUGAAAAAGCCUGAGGCCUAGCUUGAAGUGUCAGACCAGUUCCCAGAUGUCAGGGGCUAGGUUUUUAAUUUUUUCCCUUUCUCACACUUUUGUUUUACUGUAAAAAAAACAGAGAAUUGAAGAUACUGCUCUUAAAAUAAUUUUUAAAGAUAUAUAAUGAGGUCAAAGACUCAUUUUUUGGUGCCAUCCUUACCCGUGAGAUUUUUAUCAGAGGAGGAAAAACACCGUGUUCAAUGAAGCUUAGAUGCCAAGUGAUAAAGCAGAUGAAAAUUCAAUCAAGAUGGCAACAGAUUUCUUCAAAGUAACACUCCGGAAGCAAGGUCUUCAAUAUUUUGAAGAAAAAUUAUUUCCAACCUUGAAUUCUUUGUCAACUAAACAGAAGUGCAGAAUUUUCACAUGUACAAGUUCUCAAAUAUUUGCCUCCAUUACAUCCCUUGUAAGUAUGCAAUAGAAGUGCUCUACCAAAAUAAGUGGGAGACAGCAAGAAACAGAAAAAAAUGGGAUCCAGAAACAGGGGAUCAAUAAGAGUGACUGAGGCUUAGUUAACACUGGUCUAAGUUGAAAUAGAAUGAUGGAGGGCUCCAGUAAAACUAUCUCCAGAAAAGAGACAAAAUUAAUAGAUUACCAAAAGUAUUUUCUCAGUACAUAUGUACUGAGAGGAAAUUUGCAUUUCCAGAAAAUUAGUCAUAAGUACAUAAAUUUUUAAAGAGAAAAAAAAGAAAUUUCAGGAAAUAGAACAUUGUACCAGGAAGGAUGUGUAAUUAUUUUCAAUUCAUGGCUCAGAUGUGAAUCUGAUUUAAUCGUAAUGUCUAUGCUCUGAAUGUUGAUCUAACCGUGCCAAUAGACAGUAGUGGUGGAGAAUUUCUUAAUUAGUCUUGUAGAAGUGUUUUAAUUUUUAAUAAUGGUUGAAAUAAUUAGUAAAAAAUGUAAAGUGUCGCCCAAAGGGUUUAGUUCAGAAUGUCUGGGUUUCUACUGAUAAAAAUUAAAUAGAUUUGAUGUAGAGAUCAAAACCACAGAACCUGGUCAGUCUGGCUCAGGGUGAUUAUGCCUUUUUAAAUAAAUCCAUUCAGUAUCAUUUCUAUGUAAAACA
rnacentral:lncRNA from 12 species